GAACUGAAGAGUUUGAUCCUGGCUCAGAUUGAACGCUGGCGGCAUGCUUUACACAUGCAAGUCGAACGCGAAAGGGGGGCAACCCCCGAGUAGAGUGGCGAACGGGUGAGUAAUACAUCGGAACAUAUCCUGUAGCGGGGGAUAACCUCGAGAAAUCGAGGCUAAUACCGCAUACGUCCUACGGGAGAAAGCGGGGGAUCGCAAGACCUCGCACUAUAGGAGUGGCCGAUGUCGGAUUAGCUAGUUGGCGGGGUAAAAGCCCACCAAGGCUACGAUCCGUAGCUGGUCUGAGAGGAUGAUCAGCCACACUGGGACUGAGACACGGCCCAGACUCCUACGGGAGGCAGCAGUGGGGAAUUUUG
rnacentral:ncRNA from 1 species